UACGUAGGGCGCAAGCGUUAUCCGGAAUUAUUGGGCGUAAAGAGCUCGUAGGCGGUUUGUCGCGUCUGCCGUGAAAGUCCGGGGCUCAACUCCGGAUCUGCGGUGGGUACGGGCAGACUAGAGUGAUGUAGGGGAGACUGGAAUUCCUGGUGUAGCGGUGAAAUGCGCAGAUAUCAGGAGGAACACCGAUGGCGAAGGCAGGGUCUCUGGGCAUUAACUGACGCUGAGGAGCGAAAGCAUGGGGAGCGAACAGGG
rnacentral:rRNA from 1 species